rnacentral:sRNA from 11 species
UAUCUCUCCGUACGGGGAAGGAUGAGAAGCUUCGACUAAGGUUCGAUUCGAGCGAAAGCGAGAAAGCGUUGCCGCAGGCAACGACCCGAAGGGCGAAACGCGCAGCGCUGAGUCAUCCUUCCCCCACCACCA